CAGCGUCCUCGUCCUAAUGAGUUUUUAAUACUCUGCCGCGCUUCCUGAUUGUCUGUGUGGCAUAGCAAAUAUAUGUAGAGACGACGUAGAACUACAAAAACCCAUUGCCACAGGAUUUUCGGUUAAUUUAUUGAGCGAGCAAAGAGUUUAGAACGUGUUCAAAGCAGACCGACAAAAAAAAAAAAAAAUUUACCGCCAAAGAAAACUAAUUUGCACUCUGAAGUGAACUGAAACGUGGAAAGUUUGUUUGGCUCUCUGGAAAGUUCGACUUUAUUCGGAUUCCGACAAGACACUGGCACACAACAAUUUGCGGUAAGUUCU
rnacentral:sRNA from 1 species